CAUAGAUUUAAAAAUGAGAGGCUACGGUAAAAGGCACGGAUUGCGAUUUUUGACGGGGGCGUAAACCAGAGCUUCUUCCGAUUCACUUCCUCCAUCACCGCCGGCCACCGGAGCUCUUCCACCUUCAUCCAUCAUCGAGUUCAAGGGGAACCCCUUCCUCAUCCAUCCACAUUCAUCCAUCGACCACUACAGAAGCAAGGGGAUUCCCUACUUCAUCCGUGCGCCACAAUCGAGCUCCGACCACCUACCUUCAUCUACAUCUCGCGACGCCAAGAGCUUCCUUCCACACCAGCAAUCUAAAUUCAUUCAUCAAUGACACCGCAUCUCCCAGCCGAAUUCUCCACGUCGCGACGCACCGCAGCUGAGAUCCGCCGAGCUUAAACCGAACGCCACCGAACCUUGUGAAGAAGCAAGGGGAUCCCCUUCCUCUUUGGAAGAUUCGGUACUAUCUUCCUUUAUUCCAUCCACCAACAUUUGCUGUCAAUUACCUUUGCCGCCGCUGGUUCUUCUCCAAUUUCUGAUCAAACCCAGCUUGGGGUUGCCCUAGCUUAUCUGUGAUGUUGAUGAUAAUGGGGAAUUAACUGAGUCUGUCUAUGCAUUUGUUGAUGACGGAAGUGUAGAGACUUCUAGUGUAAGACCAAGUCCUAAGAAUCAUUUCCUUUGGUUGCAAAACCACCUGAGCCAGAGCCCAAGUUCUAGAAUCUUCAGAUACCUCUCAACAUUGCAAGGUUAGUAUUUCUUCUGAAUUUUUGAAAAAUUUCAUGCAGAUGCCUAUAAUUGAUUUUAUUGGAUAUGAUUCAUUUUUCAAUACAUGCUCGGUAAAGAUUUAUUCUAUUUCAUCUGUUUCUUAUCACAUAUGUGUGCGGGAGGUGCUUUCUUUCCUUGGCUUGCAGGUCUUGUAAAAAUCAAGCUUUCGGAGUACAUACUCUAAUUGAACUACCUCCAACAGCCAAGAAGAGCUUUCAAGGAGAUAACAAAGGAGGGAGUGGUACUUCAUAACACUUAUUAUACGAGGACAGCUCUCUCUUCCAUUUGAACCAUCCCAUUACGGGUGUGACUUCUACUUCUGAAUUGCCUACAACUGCUAGGAAUAAAGAGGAGUCCGUUCUUUUUUUUUUUUACUUUAUACUUUUCUUCACCUUUAUAUUUUGCUUCCAUACUUUGUUUCCAUACUUUGCACUUUGUUUAAUCUAUAUUGCAUAUUUGGUUUCAAA